AUGGCGUGGAGGCACUACAUGGCGGCAUGGAGGCCGCGGCGGUGCAGGGCAAUAAGCCGUGGCGGCGAGCCGGGCGCGACCGGUGCGUGUUAUGGGUGCGCACUGGACGUGUCGGGACCGCGGGCGCGCGGUGAGCGUUUGGUGCAGUCGGACUCGUCGAGCGCGUCGGAUGCGCGCGGGACGUGCGGGACGCACUGGUGUGGUCGGGCUCGUCGGGCGCGUCGGAUGCGCGCGGGACAUGCGGGACGCACUAUUGCGGUCGGGCGCGUCGGGUGCGCGCGAGACAUGCGGGGCGCCGAGGGACGCCAGGCAUGUGUCGCCGGCGGAGAAGGAGCUCGGCGUGUGUCGCCGGAGUCGUGA
rnacentral:rRNA from 1 species